GAUGAACGCUGGCGGUAUGCUUAACACAUGCAAGUCGAACGGUCACUUCGGUGAUAGUGGCGGACGGGUGAGUAACGCGUGAGAAUCUGUCUUCAGGUCGGGGACAACAGUUAGAAAUGACUGCUAAUACCGGAUGUGCCUUUGGGUGAAAGAUUUAUUGCCUGAAAAAGAGCUCGCGUCAGAUUAGCUAGUAGGUGGUGUAAGAGACUACCUAGGCUCCGAUCUGUAGCUGGUCUGAGAGGACGAUCAGCCACACUGGAACUGAGACACGGUCCAGACUCCUACGGGAGGCAGCAGUGGGGAAUUUUCCGCAAUGGGCGAAAGUCUGACGGAGCAAUACCGCGUGAGGGACGAAGGCUUUUGGGUCGUAAACCUCUUUUCUCAAGGAAGAUGAUGACGGUACUUGAGGAAUAAGCAUCGGCUAACUCUGUG
rnacentral:rRNA from 1 species